GAUCCUGGCUCAGGACGAACGCUGGCGGCGUGCCUAACACAUGCAAGUCGAACGGACGAGAGGGAGCUUGCUCCCUCAAGUUAGUGGCGGACGGGUGAGUAACGCGUGAGUAACCUGCCUUUCAGAGGGGAAUAACAUUCUGAAAAGAAUGCUAGUACCGCAUAAUGUCACAGUAUCGCAUGGUACAGCGAUCAAAGGAGCAAUCCGCUGAAAGAUGGACUCGCGUCCGA
rnacentral:rRNA from 1 species